GUACUUUACCAGAAAGCCCCGGCUAACUACGUGCCAGCAGCCGCGGUAAUACGUAGGGGGCGAGCGUUAUCCGGAUUUAUUGGGCGUAAAGGGUGUGUAGGCGGUUUAUUAAGUCUAAGAUCAAAGCCCGAAGCUUAACUUCGGUUCGUCUUAGAUACUGGUAGACUUGAGUAUAGUAGAGGCAAACGGAACUUCUAGUGUAGCGGUUAAAUGCGUAGAUAUUAGAAAGAACACCAGUGGCGAAAGCGGUUUGCUGGGCUAUUACUGACGCUGAGACACGAAAGCGUGGGGAGCAAAUAGGAUUAGAUACCAUAGUAGUCCACGCUGUAAACGAUGAGUACUAAGUGUCGGGAAACCGGUGCUGAAGUUAACACAUUAAGUACUCCGCCUGAGUA
rnacentral:rRNA from 1 species